AUUAAGAUAUAGUUGCAUAUAAUUGAUAAUAGUUAAAUUAUGAGGUUUAAAAGUUUUUUCUUGUAUUUAGAAAUAGUUAAAUUUAAGAUUUUUUAGUGUUUAUUGCAAAUACAGCUUUUGUUAAAAUUUGAUAUUUUUGUAUGUACUUUCUUGUGUUAUCUAUGUGAGUUUUUUAUAAUAUUGUCUUAAUAAAUUUAAGAUUUACACAAACUUAAAUUUAAAGAUAUUUAAAAAAAAUAUUAAUAUUUAUCUAAACAUUUACUUUAUUAAAAUAAUUUCACAUACUUAUUUUCUGGUUUUAAAGUUCAAAAUUUUGGAUAUAUUUAGAAAUAUAUAUUAUAGAAUUAGUUUUAUUUAAUUUUUAAAAAUGAAUAUUUAUUAUCAAAAAAACUCAUGCACAUGAAUGUUUUGUAAUUCAAAAAAAAUAAAAUUUAAAACUUUUGGUAUAUUUUUACUUUAUUAUAAUGAUAUCUAAGUAUGCUUAUUUCAUUGGACAUUUAAAAUCUUAUUAAACAUGUUAAUAAUUAGUUAUAUAUAUUUUAUUAAAAAUAAAUAUUUGAAUAAAAAAUACCAUUAAAUGUAUUUUAAAGUCAUUAUGAAUAAUAAAGAUGAUUUAGAAGGCUUUUUCUUUUUUUCUUCUUUUCCUUUCUAUUCUAUAUAAUCUCUCUAAAAUUUAUGGCUAUAUUAAAAUCCUUGUUAAGAAUAUUAAAAUAAUAAUAAUAAUUUUUAUAUGGUAAUUUAAUUAUAUUAAGGUAAUUAAAUAAUAAUUAAUUUAAAAUAUAUUUAAUCUAAUAUAUUAUUGAAUCGUAGUAAUUAUAUUUAUAGAACAUGUCUUAAAUGAAAGAAAAUAUAUAAGAACCACCAAUAUUUUAUAAAUACAAAUUUUACCAUUAGAAUAUAAGAUUUUUAUUUAUUUAUUUAUUUUAAUUAGUAACAUUAAGUCUUUGAGAUUUUAUUGAUAAUUUCAAGGAUUUUCUACUAAAAGAUAUAUUUCUAAAAAAAGUAUAAAACAUAAUUAGAUUUUGGAAUAACUACUUUUUAUCUUCAAUAAUAGCAACUUUGUACACAUUUUUUUUCAUACUAAGAACCAAAAAAUUAAGAUAAAAAUUUAUAAUUUCUUUAAAAAUAAGAGUAUCUAUAAUAUAUUUUUUAUACAAUAUAAUAUUUUUACAUCCACAAUAAAAGAAUGUAAACAAAUGAUUCUAUAAAUAAAUAUUAUAAAGGUCUUUAAAAGCCAAGUUUUUAUUAUAAAUAAGAUAAUUAUUUCAGAUGUAAUAAUGUAAUUAAUAAUAAAUUUAUAGAUUUUGAUGAUAGUUUGAUUAUAUCUUUAGAAACUAUCUAUAUUAAAACCUAAAUUUUUAUUAUGUAAUGUUAAAACAAAGCCACAAAAGCAUCAAGCAUAAUAUAAAAAGUCUCAAAUUAAUAAUUUAAUUUUAUUUCAUAUUAAUUUAUUUUAAAUAAAUAUUUUAAUAUUAAAAAUUAUCUAAUUAUUAAAUAAAAUAUUAUAUUAAUAGAAAUUAUUUUAAGAUGAAGAAAUUAAAAGAUAAGUUUAAAGGUAACAACUAUGGAUUCAUGGAUUGUAAUCUUUUUAUCUACGAUAGAAAAAUAAAUUAUAUAUUUAGAUAUUAUUAAGUAUAAUAUAUCAUUAAAAUAUAUAUAUUUUUAAUAUUUAUAAAUAUAUUAUAUUAAUAAAAAAUUAAUAAAAAAUUAACAUAUUUAAAACCAUUUAAACAAAAUUUAUAUUUGUAGAGAUUUUUAUAAGAAAUAAAUAAUAGAGGAUUAAAUUUAAAGAUGCUUUCUUGUUAAAGUAAGAAUAAGAUACUAUUAUCUUAAGCAAGUUGCUAAUAAUCAAAGGGUAGUAAAAGAGUGAAGGUAAGUUAUUAUUAUGGUGGCUAAGGUUUUAAGUGGCAACUAAAUUAAUAGGGAUCUAAGAUUUAAUCGGAUGAAGCAAAGAUAGAUGAAGAUGAUUAUAGAUGAAGUUUAAUUACAAUAAAUAUAAACUUCUUCUAUAAGUAAAGGAUUGUGAGUGUAAAAUUCACUCUUUAAUUGAAUUACAAGAUGGCAUCAAUUAAGAGUUGCUUGUAAUGGGUGGUGUGAAGUGAAAGUAGCAAGAAUUAGAACAAGAGCAAAAGA
rnacentral:lncRNA from 1 species